rnacentral:rRNA from 1 species
AUUGAACGCUGGCGGCAGGCUUAACACAUGCAAGUCGAGCGGAGCGAGGGUGCUUGCACCUUAGCUUAGCGGCGGACGGGUGAGUAAUGCUUAGGAAUCUGCCUAUUAGUGGGGGACAACAUUCCGAAAGGAAUGCUAAUACCGCAUACGCCCUACGGGGGAAAGCAGGGGAUCCUCGGACCUUGCGAUAAUCGAUGAGCCUAAGUCGGAUUAGCUAGUUGGUGGGGUAAAGGCCUACAAAGGCGACGAUCUGUAGCGGGUCUGAGAGGAUGAUCCGCCACACUGGGACUGAGACACGGCCCAGACUCCUACGGGAGGCAGCAGUGGGGAAUAUUGGACAAUGGGCGGAAGCCUGAUCCAGCCAUGCCGCGUGUGUGAAGAAGGCCUUUUGGUUGUAAAGCACUUUAAGCGAGGAGGAGGCUACUAGUAUUAAUACUACUGGAUAGUGGACGUUACUCGCAGAAUAAGCACCGGCUAACUCUGUGCCAGUCGCCGCCGUAA